UAGGGAAUCUUCCACAAUGGGCGCAAGCCUGAUGGAGCAACACCGCGUGAGUGAAGAAGGGUUUCGGCUCGUAAAGCUCUGUUGUUAAAGAAGAACACGUAUGAGAGUAACUGUUCAUACGUUGACGGUAUUUAACCAGAAAGUCACGGCUAACUACAUGCUAG
rnacentral:rRNA from 1 species